rnacentral:rRNA from 1 species
AGAGUUUGAUCCUGGCUCAGGAUGAACGCUGGCGGCGUGCCUAACACAUGCAAGUCGAACGGGUGUACGGGAUGGAAGGCUCCGGCCGGAAGCCCCGUGCAUGAGUGGCGGACGGGUGAGUAACGCGUGGGCAACCUGCCCUGUACAGGGGGACAACACUUAGAAAUAGGUGCUAAUACCGCAUAACGGGGGGAGCCGCAUGGCACCCCCCUGAAAACUCCGGUGGUACAGGAUGGGCCCGCGUCUGAUUAGCUUGUUGGCAGGGUAACGGCCUACCAAGGCGACGAUCAGUAGCCGGCCUGAGAGGGCGGACGGCCACACUGGGACUGAGACACGGCCCAGACUCCUACGGGAGGCAGCAGUGGGGGAUAUUGCACAAUGGGGGGAACCCUGAUGCAGCGACGCCGCGUGGGUGAAGGAGCGUUUCGGCGCGUAAAGCCCUAUCGGCAGGGAAGAAGGAGGACGGUACCUGACUAAGAAGCCCCGGCUAACUACGUGCCAGCAGCCGCGGUAAUACGUAGGGGGCAAGCGUUAUCCGGAUUUACUGGGUGUAAAGGGGGCGCAGACGGCAGCGCAAGCCAGGAGUGAAAGCCCGGGGCCCAACCCCGGGACUGCUCUUGGAACUGCGCGGCUGGAGUGCAGGAGGGGCAGGCGGAAUUCCUGGUGUAGCGGUGAAAUGCGUAGAUAUCAGGAGGAACACCGGUGGCGAAGGCGGCCUGCUGGACUGCGACUGACGUUGAGGCCCGAAAGCGUGGGGAGCAAACAGGAUUAGAUACCCUGGUAGUCCACGCCGUAAACGAUGAUUACUAGGUGUCGGGGAGCAGAGACUGCCCGGUGCCGCAGCCAACGCAUUAAGCAUUCCACCUGGGGAGUACGCCGGCAACGGUGAAACUCAAAGGAAUUGACGGGGGCCCGCACAAGCGGAGGAACAUGUGGUUUAAUUCGAUGAUACGCGAGGAACCUUACCCGGGCUCAAACGGGAGUGGAAUGGAUCAGAGACGGUUCAGCCUACGGGCCGCUUCCGAGGUGCUGCAUGGUUGUCGUCAGCUCGUGCCGUGAGGUGUCGGCUUAAGUGCCAUAACGAGCGCAACCCCCGCCGGCAGUUGCUAACGGGCAAUGCCGAGGACUCUGCCGGGACUGCCGCCGCAAGGCGAGAGGAAGGCGGGGAUGACGUCAAAUCAGCACGGCCCUUACGUCCGGGGCGACACACGUGUUACAAUGGGCGGUACAGCGGGAAGCCAGGCGGCGACGCCGAGCGGAACCCGAAAGCCGUUCUCAGUUCGGAUCGGAGUCUGCAACCCGACUCCGUGAAGCUGGAUUCGCUAGUAAUCGCGCAUCAGCCAUGGCGCGGUGAAUACGUUCCCGGGCCUUGUACUCACCGCCCGUCA